UGUUCCUGCCUUUGACCUGACACUGGAUCUGCUCUAGCCACUGAAGCUAUUCAAGGCCAGAUCUUCCAUUUCACUGGAUGGGGAAACUCCUCAGGCUGUCUCCAGGCUCUUCCCAGUAGAACACUGUGCACUGAAAGAAUGGCUGGCUGACUUCCCUGGAGGACCUCUCUUGGGGCAAGAUAUGAAUGAACUCGAAGAAGUCAGAUACCAUAUACCAAUAAUGAGGGGAAGCAGACAAUAUUCACAAUUGCCCUUACCCAAUCCCCUCCCCCCCAUACUUCCUCCCUCUUCUCCACUCUUGUGCUGGGUUUCACAAUUAGAUGCAGACAGGAAGCUGGUAAAUGACUUUCAAUUACAAAUGCUGACAGGCUGGCUUCAUGGAAAUCAGUGACAAAACUCACACUUUUCAGAAGAAUCAUAACUUUAUCUGCACUGCAAGAGGCAGAUCACAGAUCAUGAGUAUUGUACUGUUUUUGCAAUAGUAUGAGAUGAGCAAAAGUGUCAUUUUGUCACUGUUUGACAAGAGAUUAUUUUGGAGCUACUCAACUACCUCAUUCAGUUCAAGACACAAAAUGGCUCUGAGUCAGCUGAAAUGAUUUGUUCCCUAGUUCCUCUAAUAAUAAGAGCAUUUGGGUAUCAUUUUCAAAGAAGGCCACAUAUUGACAGGAGGAGUUAGGCAAAUAGAUAGCUGGUAAAUAGAUAGCACAGUCGUUAUUGAAGCCCCAACAAAUGAACUGCUGUUUCAAAACAACCUUUAUUCUGCUUGAAGACUUAUUACAUUUUUAAAGCAACUCAAAAACAAGACACAGCUCCAUCAAUUCUACAGCUUGAACAAAAUUUUAAGGAGGCAUGUUUUCACUGUUGCCUUGUAAAGGCAAUUUACAAUCUGCUUUACUCUCCACCUCCUCAACGACAAUUUUAAAACAAAGCAAUCUUAAUGUUUUAAAGACAUGUAACAGAACAGAGCUUUAUUUUCAAAAAACAAGAAUAAAAAAAAAAAUAGCAGCAUCUUGGGCAGCUAAUGCAAUCUCAUCAGGACAAGUGCAAUGUAACCUUACCAACUCCUACAGUUUAGUCUCAGCUGCAGUGAACAGAACAUGACUCUACAUAAAAUGUUGCACUUUGUAACCUUGUCCCAUGGGAGGCAUUAUGCUUUGAGCUGCCCAUUUCUAAAGUGACCCUGAAAAAAACCAGUAUCAGGAUUCACUUUCCCAACUUAAUACCAUGCAUAGCAAAAGCACUGUGUGAAAAUCGGCAGUUUUCCCCAUUAGAAGCAUCUGAAUGUUUUCCCAAGCAUUAUUAUUUCAUUGCCAAUUACAAGACAAAGCCAUUUUUUCACUACAGAACAGUUGACACCAAAUAGAAAAUCUGAAGAUUUGGUUUUACAGAUUGCUUGACAAGAUAACGGAACCAUACAGACAAGCUUUUUUUUUUCUUUUUUUUUUUUAAAAGAAACUAUCCAACAACACAGAAACUCAGUUUUCUAACUGUAUCUGGAAACAUGCUGCACCCACAAAGGUCUAGUGUGCAUGUGUGUGUCUUUAAACAAAGUUAAUGAUAUCGCUUACUAAAUUCAGCAAAAUGAUCAUGUUCUGUGAAAAUGCAUCUAUAUUGGGAACUGUUCAUACAUAAACACAGCAAGUGUGUAAUGAGUAUGCACAGAUAUGCAUCCCCAACCUGCAAAUUCAUAUUUCAGCUGAAUUAAAUCAGAAACUCUUAAUUUUGCCUGUGAGUUUUGGUUCUCUUUGCAAUGUCUCAUGCCUUUCAAAGGCCUUGUGAAAGAGAUGCUGCAGUGCAGCAUAACUCAGGGACUUAAAAUAAAACGAAAAGUUAUGCAAAUCAAAAAAAGAAAAAAAAAGUAACAGAGUUAAGCCCAUCCAUUGAUUAUAUUCGAUGAAAAAAUCUUUGCAUCAAUAGAAAUACAGAAAAACACUGUGUUUCUUUAGUUAUAUCCCCAUGCUUUUUUUUUCUGUAUAUAGCAGUCUGAGAUCAGAUCAAAACUGGAGUGAACAAUAUGGUACAUUAAAGACAAACAACUCUGCAGUGAAUAGGGCCUUUGGCAGGACUUAGCUCUGUGCAUUAAGGAGGGAGAGAAAUGCAGAGGCCACACAAUAUGUAAGUACCAAAGAAAACCCACUCAUGCCAAUUUGAGGGUGUAAAUGAUCCCUGCAAAUUGCACAGACCCUGUGUAGGCAGAACAUCCCCUUAAGAAGCCCUAAGCAUUCAUCAUUACAACAUAGGGCUUAUUUCUCAUUGUUGCUUGUGCAAGAAAAGCAAGUGUCAAAUCUGCACACACACUAUUUUUUUUCUGCUACAGCCACACACAAAGAGAAGUUGCACAGCACACAGGAAUGAAUUAUAUUCCAUACUGGGCUGGGCAUGCUAAGGAUAUGGCCCACUGACAUAGCAGGGGUUUUCUUAAAAUGAGGAAAAUUAGAUCCAAAUGCUUUAACUAUGAUAAAAUUUCUUGACAAAUGCUACGUGAAACAUCAAUUCAGAUUACAUAUAUUUCGCCUACAGAGAAAAAAUACAAUUUUACUCUUAAAAUAUUUAACAUUCAGAAAUUAAUAUACGUCCAAAGAAUAUCUUGGAUUGCUAUAAGCGUUAAACUGCUGUAUAUUGAACUAAUCUGUAACUUCAAGCCCAGUAGUAUAACUGGCAUGCUAGAGUAAUUGUUGGUGUUUUUUGUAGUAUAAACCAGUUAUUUGUAUAACAGAUUCACAUGGUCCUACAGGCCUGAAAAAAGUGUGGAAUGAGAAAGAGAAGGCAUGAAGACUAAACUUCUAUUCAGGAAAAAUAUUCAGAAUAAUUUUCUAAGUGAUGACUAUCGUGAAACAAUAUUUGUUGGGUCUUGUUUCCUGAUACAAAUAAGAAAAUACAACUAUAGGAAAGCUAAGACAACCCACCAAAAAAAAUAGACUACAAAGUCAAAGCAAAAUUAAAAAUCUUACAGCCUCAGAACUGAAGUAACAAUGUAAAAAUGAAAGGAUAAUAUAAAGAUUAGUGGAGACUGGCGAAUUUCUUCUUAUUAUUUCCAAUAGCUUAUAAAGCAUUGUGUACUUUGAAAUAAAACACAAGGAUCUCUAACCAGA